UAUCAUUUCCUACCUGCCCCUUGAUUGUCCCCUCUUCCUGCUCCUCAGGGGGACGGUCCAAUCCAGCAGGCGUCUGGGACCUCACUCUCUCUCCACGGAGUCAGUCUCACUUCCUGGAAAAGCAAAUCAUCGUGAACCGCUUCCCCCCUGGACCAAAACCCAAAAGCAUCCUUGACAACAUGUACCAGUUCUGGCUGCUGACAGACCUUUUCAGAUGGGACGAGCUUCCAAUCGAUUCUCAUUUCUUCCAGAUGGAACACUGAGACUCAAGGAGGUCAAGGGACUUGGUCAAGAGACUCACUUGAGGUCGUCUGACAGCGACGGAGCCGGGACUAAACGCAGCAUUGUUCUUCACAUGAAUUACCCAUUUGGUUUCAUCAUCGACCUAUGAGAUGAUCAUUGAGGCUGCUCCGUGGCCAAGCCAGUCAGACUCCAGAACUCAUGCCUUUUAAAACAGUGUUCUGCCGUGUAUUUCCUCAUAUUGAGCCGAAACCUUUUUCCUAUUCUUUGGGCUCAGACAAAACUAAUUGAGCUCUUCUUUACCAAGCCUGUCCCUCUAAGCCGUAUGAAGACAGCCCUUUGUUCUGCUCCGGGCUGGACAUUUCUCAUUCUGUCUUGUUUUUCUCAUCCC